GAUGAACGCUAGCGGCAGGCUUAAUACAUGCAAGUCAAGGGGGUAGCAAUACAACCGGCGCACGGGUGAGUAACGCGUACACGACAUACCAUAUACUGGGGUAUAGCUUUGGGAAACUGAAGGUAAUCCCCCAUAACAUUGCGAGAGGGCAUCUGAUUGCAAUUAAAGUUUCGGCGGUAUAUGAUUGGUGUGCGUUUGAUUAGCUAGUUGGUAGGGUAACGGCCUACCAAGGCGACGAUCAAUAGCUGGCGUGAGAGCGCGACCAGCCACACUGGAACUGAGACACGGUCCAGACUCCUACGGGAGGCAGCAGUAGGGAAUAUUGGACAAUGGAGGAAACUCUGAUCCAGCCAUGCCGCGUGAUAGAUGAAGGCCCUCUGGGUUGUAAAUAUCUUUUAUCUGGGAAGAAACAAUCUUAUUCUUAAGAUCUUGACGGUACCAGAGGAAUAAGCACCGGCUAACUCCGUGCCAGCAGCCGCGGUAAU
rnacentral:rRNA from 1 species